rnacentral:rRNA from 1 species
UACGUAGGGUGCAAGCGUUGUCCGGAAUUAUUGGGCGUAAAGAGCUCGUAGGCGGUCUGUCGCGUCGGCUGUGAAAUCCCGAGGCUCAACCUCGGGCCUGCAGCCGAUACGGGCAGGCUAGAGUUCGGUAGGGGAGACUGGAAUUCCUGGUGUAGCGGUGAAAUGCGCAGAUAUCAGGAGGAACACCGAUGGCGAAGGCAGGUCUCUGGGCCGAUACUGACGCUGAGGAGCGAAAGCGUGGGGAGCGAACAGG